rnacentral:rRNA from 1 species
UACAGAGGGUGCAAGCGUUGUUCGGAAUUAUUGGGCGUAAAGGGCGCGUAGGCGGCUCAUGAAGGCUGUGGUGAAAGUCCGGGGCUCAACCUCGGAUCGGCCGUGGCGACUCGUGGGCUGGAGCACUGUAGAGGCGGGUGGAAUUCCGGGUGUAGCGGUGGAAUGCGUAGAGAUCCGGAAGAACACCGGAGGCGAAGGCGGCUCGCUGGACCUGAUCUGACGCUGAGGUGCGAAAGCGUGGGGAGCGAACAGG